GGGUUAUUAUUUCUCACACAUUUGACAGAGAGAACGCCAAGAGAGAGAGAGAACUAGAGAGAGAAGAAGGAUUUUGGUGUGAAUCAAGGAGAAAGGAGCUUGAAUUGAAGCUUUUGGACUUUCUAAAGCUUGGAUUGCAAGAUCUUCACAAGAUUGAGAUUUGAGCUUGGAUUGAAGUGUGGAGAUAGGAGGAGUGGUGGUUGUGCUAAGGUUUGAAGAAUUUGUCAAGGUUGAUUGGGCAUGGAAGAGUUGUGGUGUUUGGCUAAAACGAGGUGAUAUAGGUACUAGCACUAGUGCUCCGACUACGGAUCAGCAGGGAGGAGCGUGACGCGGAUGGCCUGGACUUGUAGUGGUUUGUUGUUUUAUUUUUGUGUGGUGUUUGAUUAGUCUUUGGCUAAAUUGUAUAUUGGGAUAUAUACGUAAUGUGUGGGAUGAAUGAUGAUUUUGGAUGGUUAGACUUGAUGCCUUGGUAUGUAUGUGUGUAUGAUGAUUUAUGUUUGGGAUGAUAUGGCCGGAGGCCCUGGAUAUUUAGUUUGGUGGUAUGGGCAUUUGUUGGUUUUAAAUUGCUAUGUUUUAUGCAGGAGGCAUUCUCUGAUAUACGGGGAGGU